rnacentral:rRNA from 1 species
AUUGAACGCUGGCGGCAGGCUUAACACAUGCAAGUCGAGCGAGCGGCGGACGGGUGAGUAAUGUCUGGGAAACUGCCUGAUGGAGGGGGAUAACAACUGGAAACGGUAGCUAAUACCGCAUACCAUCAGAUGUGCCCAGAGGGGAUUAGCUAGUAGGUGGGGUAAUGGCUAACCUAGGCGACGCUCCCUAGCUGGUCUGAGAGGAGGACCAGCCACACUGGAACUGCGACACGGUCCAGACUCCUACGGGCGGCAGCAGUGGGGAAUAUUGCACUAUUGGCGCAAGCCUGAUGCAGCCAUGCCGCGUGUGUGAAGAAGUCCUUCGGGUUGUACAGCACUUUCAGCGAGGAGGCGUUACUCGCAGAAGAAGCACCGGCUAACUACGUGCCAGCAGCCGCGGUAAUAC